ACGGCCCCGCCCCCCAGCCCCUAUCCCGGGCUCACGCCUUUGUCCGCAGCCCCCGCCGCUCCGGGGUGUCCCCUGUGGCCCGAAGGGUGGUCCCGCCCGGGGCCGGGUUCCCCCGUGGAGCCCCCGGUGGUUCGCGCCGCGCUCUACCCUUUGUUGCGCGUUCGGGCCGGGGUGGGGGGGUGGGGGACGGGGGCGGGGCGGGCUCAAAUUACUGCUGACUCCGCGGCCCGAUUUAAACGCGGGUGGGGGGCGGUGGACAGGCAGCCGGCACGCUCGCUUGUUUUUCCCAUUGGAAAGUUGCUCGCUCUCCGGAUGCUGGAUGUCCGGUAUGGUGCCUGAAGCCCCCGGGGCAACAUCGACUCUCUGUCCAACUCAUUCUAACGCCAAGAUACUCAGGUUUUCUAUCUGAUCUUCUGAGGACUGCCCAAAAGCCAGAAUCACCUGCGUGGGUGGAGAAUCACCUGCGUGGGUGGAGAGCAAGUUUGUUGAGGUUUUUCUCUUUUUAAGCACUCAUAAAAUAAAAUUUUUUGUGUUUGCUAGUA